AUUUGAAUGGUUUCGGUGAGGUCCCGGUAAGGUCCGGAAGUAUUCGAGCGUUUUCGGUACGCAUAGGCGCUAAAACGGAGCCGAAAGGCCAUGUUGGGCCGUGAGCCAAAUCCGGCAUUAGCGUGGAUGAAAAGAUGAUGAAAAUACGUUCGAAGACAUGUUUGGAGAGUCUCGAUUCAAUUUGAAAAGAAUUAGAGGUCAAACGAGCGAAAACGAGCGAAAACGGAGAAGAAACGGUGAGAAAGCUGAAAAUUUGG
rnacentral:lncRNA from 1 species